CACGAAACAAGAUGAGCUAACAAUUAGUUAUUUUUAGAAAAUUGUCUGUUGCAGAAUAUUUUGAAAACUUUUUGUUAGGGGCGAUAUACUUUUCAAAUUUUGUGAUAACUUGAUGUUUUUGAAAUAUAUUAAGUAUUAGUUCAACUAUAAAGUGCUUAGAUUUUAUAGAUAUACGAAGAGCUUUUAAUAAUUUUUGUAUGGUUUAAUAACCAACAAGUUUAUAGAUUAUUAUAUUAAUAGUUUAAUUGUAAUUAUUAAAAAAACAAUAAUUAACUAUAAAUGAUAUUUAAAAUGUUAUUAUAAGUAAUUAAUAGUUAUUUCAAAUGAACUCGGCAAAAUACUUUUCAACUGUUUAUCAAAAACAUAGCUAUUAGAAUUUAAUAAUAGUGAAUUCUGCUCAAUGAGAUUUAAAUAGCCGCAGUACACUGACUGUGCAAAGGUAGCAUAAUCAGUUGGCUUAUAAUUGAAGUCGUGUAUGAAUGAAUAAAUGAGGAGUAACUUUAUCUGGAAUAAAAAAUGAAAUUACUUAGUGAGUGCAAAUUCUCAUAAAUACAUAAUAGACGAGAAGACCCUAGAAAUUUUGAAUAUUUGCAUGGUGGCUUUUUGUUGGGGCAACAGUGUAACAUGUAACUUACAUUAUAAUACAAGAAAUUAAUUCGCAAGACGAAAUUACUCUAGGGAUAACAGCGUAAUAUUCAUAUGUUUGCGACCUCGAUGUUGGACUAGGAAACGAAUACUUAGAAGGUUAGCUGCAACGC
rnacentral:rRNA from 1 species